rnacentral:rRNA from 1 species
UACAGAGGUCCCGAGCGUUGUUCGGAUUCAUUGGGCGUAAAGGGUGCGUAGGCGGUCUUCUAAGUUUGAUGUGAAAUCCCGGGGCUCAACCCUGGAAUUGCAUUGAAUACUGGAGGACUAGAGUACCGGAGAGGAAACUGGAAUUUACGGUGUAGCAGUGAAAUGCGUAGAGAUCGUAAGGAAGACCAGUGGCGAAGGCGAGUUUCUGGACGGUAACUGACGCUGAGGCACGAAAGGCCAGGGGAGCAAACGGGAUUAG